AAAUAGAAAAAUAAGUGCGCAUGGUGGAUGCCUAGACACCAAAUGACGAUGAAGGACGUAGCAGCCUGCGAAAAGCCUCGGGGAGGUGGCAAGCAACCUAUUAUCCGGGGAUGUCCGAAUGGGGAAACCCGCUUUGGAGGAAG
rnacentral:ncRNA from 1 species